rfam:Gossypium hirsutum cultivar TM-1 chromosome 7, whole genome shotgun sequence
UGUUAAAAAAAUUAUCAAUUUCUAUUGUUAAAAAUUAGUGUAGAUAACAAAAUAACUACAUAGUUACGCGUAACAUGCCACAUGUACUUCAUGUUGACGUACAUGGAUUAGUUUUUAACAGUAAAAAUAGAUGAAUUUUUUAACA